ACGAGAUGUCACGAUAUAUAGCCAUCUUGUUUGUCGUCUGGAGUAACACACCUUGGUUUGUUUACUCGAGUAGGUUUCACGUGAAACAAAGACAGGGUUCCUUGACCUUUACCUGUGGAUUUUGAGGACACCAAGUUCUUAUUUCUUCAAGCAACAAUGUUCCUCACUGUCGUCGUGCUGGCAGCUCUGAUGGUUCUUCCCGAAGGGGAAGGCAAUUGCUACAGAACCUGGAGCAGAUGCAGCGGCUGGAGCUCGUCGAUGACUGGCUACCUCUGGAGAUCUUGCAACGACCGCUGUAAAGACCUCGGCCAUGCUGGUGGAAGUUGUGUCCUGAGGGAUGCUCCUGAGUGCAGUUUAACGGACCAGGCCUAUCGAUGUGUUUGCAGGGGGUAGCUGUGCAACUUCAGGCUGACGUCAUACAUCUGACUUCCGAUUGAAACGGCGUGACAGGACACACGCUACAAAAUAGGAAAUUCGAUGAAGCGUCAUAAAAUACCUGAUGUCCUGCUGAUACAUUUCUAAUGUCCCUCGACUUUUACCAACCAUUUCGCGGCCAUCUUCGUUGAGCUAAAGGCCCAGUUUCAAAACAAUGGUAUUUUCUUGAACUGAACUGAACUUUUAUUUCCACCAUUAACGGCAUUAAAGGUUUAAAAUCACUUUAAAAA